GAUGAACGCUAGCGGCAGGCUUAACACAUGCAAGUCGAGGGGUAUAGUUCUUCGGAACUAGAGACCGGCGCACGGGUGCGUAACGCGUAUGCAAUCUACCUUUUACAGAGGGAUAGCCCAGAGAAAUUUGGAUUAAUACCUCAUAGUAUGUGAGAAUCGCAUGGUUUUCACAUUAAAGUCACAACGGUAAAAGAUGAGCAUGCGUCCCAUUAGCUUGUUGGUAAGGUAACGGCUUACCAAGGCAACGAUGGGUAGGGGUCCUGAGAGGGAGAUCCCCCACACUGGUACUGAGACACGGACCAGACUCCUACGGGAGGCAGCAGUGAGGAAUAUUGGACAAUGGGCGCAAGCCUGAUCCAGCCAUGCCGCGUGCAGGAUGACGGUCCUAUGGAUUGUAAACUGCUUUUGUACAGGAAGAAACACUCCCUCGUGAGGGAGCUUGACGGUACUGUAAGAAUAAGGAUCGGCUAACUCCGUGCCAGCAGCCGCGGUAAUACGGAGGAUCCAAGCGUUAUCCGGAAUCAUUGGGUUUAAAGGGUCCGUAGGCGGUUUAAUAAGUCAGUGGUGAAAGCCCAUCGCUCAACGGUGGAACGGCCAUUGAUACUGUUAAACUUGAAUUAUUAGGAAGUAACUAGAAUAUGUAGUGUAGCGGUGAAAUGCUUAGAGAUUACAUGGAAUACCAAUUGCGAAGGCAGGUUACUACUAAUGGAUUGACGCUGAUGGACGAAAGCGUGGGUAGCGAACAGGAUUAGAUACCCUGGUAGUCCACGCCGUAAACGAUGGAUACUAGCUGUUGGGAGCAAUCUCAGUGGCUAAGCGAAAGUGAUAAGUAUCCCACCUGGGGAGUACGUUCGCAAGAAUG
rnacentral:rRNA from 1 species